UGAUCAGGGCUGUAGCUCAGUGGAGGAGCACCUGUUUUUUGUGCAGAAGGUCACAGGUUCAAUCCCUGACCUCUCAA